CUUAUGCAAACUGCCACGUUGUCUUUUCACCUCGUGUGUGUUGGACAGGGCGAGUGUAGUAAUCAUUAAAAAAAGCUCAAACACUUCGCGAUGGGAAGGCAUUGUGAUCUUUUUUUCUGAAUUCGAUUGGCCAGGAACAGAGACGUUAAGGCUCCACGGACAAUUAUUCAACAAGGGGCAGCUACCAGAACUUGUAGAUGUUUUUCACGGCAGUUUAUCGGGUGAACAGAAAGGCUGUCAAGCCCACCAUUGCCGAGGUCCAGUCAGCUUUUAUUAACUUCAUGCCUCACACCGCAACAAUGUAAAGAGUGAUGUCACCUUUGAAUGCAUGAGAAUACCACUCCUCAUCAUCUCCGUAGGCCUGCUGUCCUG